rnacentral:misc_RNA from 1 species
AAGUCGUAACAAGGUUUCCGUAGGUGAACCUGCGGAAGGAUCAUUAACGAGUUUUGAAAGGGGUUGUCGCUGGCCUUUCACGAGGCAUGUGCACACCCUGCUCAUCCACUCUCAACCUCUGUGCACUUAUUGUAGGUCGGUGGAAGGCUCGCAAGAGCUGGAAGCCUGCUUAUGUUUUACUACGAACGCUUCAGUUAUAGAAUGUUUACUUGCGUAUAACGCAUUUAUAUACAACUUUCAGCAACGGAUCUCUUGGCUCUC